rnacentral:tRNA from 1 species
UGGCUCAGUUGGUAGAGCAUGGUGUUUGCAACGCCAGGGUUGUAGGUUCAAUUCCCAC